rnacentral:sRNA from 1 species
UGGGCCUUUUGAGAACUUAGAGAAGCUGUUUUUAAGUGAUUGUCCACGACUGACAUCUCUCUUCACGUAUGUUGUUGCUCGAAGUUUGGUAAAAUUGAAAAUAUUAAAAAUAUCAAGAUGUGAUGAACUGAAGUAUAUAUUAGCAGAUGAUGACAAAACGUAUGUACAAAUUUUCCAAAAUCUGCAGGAUGUAAAGAUAAACAGGUGUCGAGAAUUAAAACAUAUAUUCCCAGCCAACAUUGUUGGAGGCUUAACUCAAUUGAAAGUUGUUGAGAUAGAAGAAUGUGACAAGCUAGAUCAAAUAAUUGGAGAUAUUGUUCCAUCAACAGACCGUGAUAAACUAAUAGAGGAAGGAACACUAUCCAGCCUUGCAAGCCUUAGGAUAACAUAUUGUGGAAAGUUAGGCUCAAUUUUUACAGCAUCUACAGCUAAGACCUUGACUUCUUUGGAAGAAUUGUUAAUAAUAGGGUGCAAAAGUUUGAAGUAUAUAGUAACUCACGAAAGGGUCAACAAAAAUAAGGAGG